rnacentral:rRNA from 1 species
UACGUAGGGGGCAAGCGUUGUCCGGAAUUAUUGGGCGUAAAGAGCGUGUAGGCGGCCAGAUAAGUCCGCUGUGAAAUCUCGAGGCUCAACUUCGAGCUGUCGGUGGAAACUAUCUGGCUAGAGUCCGGAAGAGGAGAAUGGAAUUCCUGGUGUAGCGGUGAAAUGCGCAGAUAUCAGGAAGAACACCAGUGGCGAAGGCGCUCUACUGGGCCACAACUGACGCUGAGGGACGAAAGCUAGGGGAGCGAAAGGG